AUUCAGACCGACACACACACAGACUGCUUAAUACAUACACACAGUCCACUGGAUACAUGCACACAGUCCGUUGCAUACAUGCAAACAUUCCACUGCAUACACGCACAUACAAAACAUACACACAAACUGCUGAGUACGUACACACAGUCCGCUAAAAACACACACACAGACUGCUGAAUACAUUAAGACUGCUGAAUACACAGACAGACUGUUGAAUACACACACACACAGAGACAGCUGAAUACACACAGACAGACUGCUGAGUACACACAGACUGCUGAAUACAUACACACAAACACACACACAUACUGCAUUGAGGGGUGCAAUGUAUGUGUUUGUGUGCACGGGUGCGGAGUGUGUGGAGUGCUGUGUGUCUCUGAGGGGUGCUGUGUGUGUCUCUGAGGGGUGCUGUGUGUGUGUGUGUGAGGAGUGCUGUGUGCGUGGGGGGUGCUACCGGCUUAAUGUCGUGAAGGCCCCCCUUGAGCUGUAAAAACAGCUCUGAUGCAUUGAGGCAUGGACUCCACUAGAACUCCACUAGCUGUAGUGUGGCAGAGUGCAUCUUCCAGCUGACACUACCAUCAGGCAACAUCAUUGCCAUGCAGGGGUGUACUUGGUCUAGAACAUUCUCUUUUCAAUAUCUCUGUGUUGAAUGUGCCAUUUAGAGGGCAAAACAGAAUCCAGUGAUAAGAUAAGAGAACAUGAAG